rnacentral:SRP_RNA from 1 species
GCUGGGCAUGGUGGUGCAUGCCUGUAGUCCCAGCUACUCAGGAGGCUGGGGCAGGGGAAUCACUUGAGCCCAGGAAAUUGAGGUUGCAGGGAGCCAACAUCACAUCAUUGCACUCCAGCCUGGGUGACAGAGUGAGACCCUGUCUCAA